rnacentral:lncRNA from 1 species
GAAAACCAACUCAAUUUGCAUGCCAAGAAGUGUGUCACCCAAAGAUAAUAUGCUAGUGGCCAAUUUAAGAACUUCAACAUAUCCAUGAAGCAAUGAUGAUGAAGGAAGAAGUGCAACUAGCACAAGAAGAAAAGAAUUGAAAGAAUGCAUGAAGUGCCACACCCAUGCCAAAAGAAGAAAGGAAAAGAAGUAUGGGAUGGAAGCAAACAAGAAGAAAUUGAAUUCACAUGCUUGUGAGGUGUCAUCCACUCCAAAGAAGCUCAAAUUCAAUGC